rnacentral:rRNA from 1 species
GGAAUUGAGGGCCCCGCACAAGCAGCGGAGCGUGUGGUUAAUUCGAUGUUACACGAAGAACUUACCAGGGUUUGACAUGCAAGUGGUAGGAAGCCGAAAGGUGACCGACCCUUCGGGGAGCUUGCACAGGUGCUGCAUGGCUGUCGUCAGCUCGUGUCGUGAGAUGUUCGGUUAAGUCCGCUAACGAGCGCAACCCUCGCUGUGUGUUAUAUGUGUCACACGGGACUGCCGGUCUUAAGCCGGAGGAAGGUGGGGAUGAUGUCAAGUCAGCAUGGCCUUUAUAUCCUGGGCUACACACACGCUACAAUGGCCAACACAAUAGGUUGCUAAGCCGCGAGGUGGCGCCAAUCCAUAAAGUUGGUCUCAGUUCAGAUUGUAGGCUGCAACCCGCCUGCAUGAAGAUGGAGUUGCUAGUAACCGCAGGUCAGCUAUACUGCGGUGAAUACGUUCCCGGGUCUU